rnacentral:rRNA from 1 species
UGGGGAAUUUUGGACAAUGGGGGCAACCCUGAUCCAGCAAUGCCGCGUGAGUGAAGAAGGCCUUCGGGUUGUAAAGCUCUUUUGUCUGGGAAGAAAUCCUUUGGGCUAAUACCUCGGAGGGAUGACGGUACCGGAAGAAUAAGCACCGGCUAACUACGUGCCAGCAGCCGCGGUAAUACGUAGGGUGCGAGCGUUAAUCGGAAUUACUGGGCGUAAAGCGUGCGCAGGCGGUUGUGCAAGACAGAGGUGAAAUCCCCGAGCUUAACUUGGGAACUGCCUUUGUGACUGCACGGCUAGAGUGUGUCAGAGGGGGGUAGAAUUCCACGUGUAGCAGUGAAAUGCGUAGAGAUGUGGAGGAAUACCGAUGGCGAAGGCAGCCCCCUGGGAUAACACUGACGCUCAUGCACGAAAGCGUGGGGAGCAAACAGGAUUAGAUACCCUGGUAGUCCACGCCCUAAACGAUGUCAACUAGUUGUCGGGUCUUAAUUGACUUGGUAACGCAGCUAACGCGUGAAGUUGACCGCCUGGGGAGUACGGUCGCAAGAUUAAAACUUAAA